rfam:Schwartzia succinivorans DSM 10502 genome assembly, contig: EJ98DRAFT_scaffold00009.9
AUAUUGGAGAGUUUGAUCCUGGCUCAGGACGAACGCUGGCGGCGUGCUUAACACAUGCAAGUCGAACGGGGCGAUUUAAAAGCUUGCUUUUGAUGAGCCUAGUGGCAAACGGGUGAGUAACGCGUAGGCAACCUGCCCUCAGGAUGGGGACAACG